rnacentral:rRNA from 1 species
ACAUGCAAGUCGAACGAAGUAGCAAUACUUAGUGGCAGACGGGUGAGUAACAUGUAGGUAUCUACCCUUUGGCCUGGAAUAACACGAGGAAACUUGUGCUAAUACCAGAUAAGUCUUUACGGAGAAAGCUUUAUGCACCAUUGGAUGAGCCUGCACUUGAUUAGUUUGUUGGUGGGGUAAUGGCCUACCAAGACUGUGAUCAAUAGCUGAUUUGAGAGGAUGAUCAGCCACAUUGGGACUGAGACACGGCCCAAACUCCUACGGGAGGCAGCAGUGGGGAAUCUUGCACAAUGGAGGAAACUCUGAUGCAGCGAUGCCGCGUGAGUGAAGAAGGCCUUUGGGUUGUAAAGCUCUUUCGUCGGGGAAGAAAAUGACUGUACCCGAAUAAGAAGGUCCGGCUAACUUCGUGCCAGCAGCCGCGGUAAUACGAAGGGACCUAGCGUAGUUCGGAAUUACUGGGCUUAAAGAGUUCGUAGGUGGUUGAAAAAGUUAGUGGUGAAAUCCCAGAGCUUAACUCUGGAACUGCCAUUAAAACUUUUCAGCUAGAGUAUGAUAGAGGAAAGCAGAAUUUCUAGUGUAGAGGUGAAAUUCGUAGAUAUUAGAAAGAAUACCAAUUGCGAAGGCAGCUUUCUGGAUCAUUACUGACACUGAGGAACGAAAGCAUGGGUAGCGAAGAGGAUUAGAUACCCUCGUAGUCCAUGCCGUAAACGAUGUGUGUUAGACGUUGGAAAUUUAUUUUCAGUGUCGCAGCGAAAGCGAUAAACACACCGCCUGGGGAGUACG